AUAUGUACUUAUAUAAGUAUAUCGUAUAUGCUCGACGAUAUGGGUUGAGUGUUUCUACUAGGAGGCCGUAAACAUCCUAACUACGAAUAUAUAGGUGAUUUCU
rfam:Clostridium perfringens str. 13 DNA, complete genome.